rnacentral:rRNA from 1 species
UUUUAAAUUGAGAGUUUGAUCCUGGCUCAGGACGAACGCUGGCGGCGUGCUUAACACAUGCAAGUCGAGCGAUGAAGCUUCCUUCGGGAAGUGGAUUAGCGGCGGACGGGUGAGUAACACGUGGGCAACCUGCCUCAAAGAGGGGAAUAGCCCUCCGAAAGGAGGAUUAAUACCGCAUAAAGUUAAGGUUUCGCAUGAAACUUUAACCAAAGGAGUAAUCUGCUUUGAGAUGGGCCCGCGCCCCAUUAGCUAGUUGGUAAGGUAAUGGCUUACCAAGGCGACGAUGGGUAGCCGACCUGAGAGGGUGAUCGGCCACAUUGGAACUGAGACACGGUCCAGACUCCUACGGGAGGCAGCAGUGGGGAAUAUUGCGCAAUGGGGGAAACCCUGACGCAGCAACGCCGCGUGGGUGAUGAAGGUUUUCGGAUCGUAAAACCCUGUUUUCUGGGACGAUAAUGACGGUACCAGAUGAGGAAGCCACGGCUAACUACGUGCCAGCAGCCGCGGUAAUACGUAGGUGGCAAGCGUUGUCCGGAUUUACUGGGCGUAAAGGGUGCGUAGGCGGAUGCUUAAGUGAGAUGUGAAAUACCUAAGCUUAACUUAGGGGCUGCAUUUCAAACUGGGCAUCUAGAGUACAGGAGAGGGAAACGGAAUUCCUAGUGUAGCGGUGAAAUGCGUAGAGAUUAGGAAGAACACCAGUGGCGAAGGCGGUUUCCUGGACUGUAACUGACGCUGAGGCACGAAAGCGUGGGUAGCAAACAGGAUUAGAUACCCUGGUAGUCCACGCCGUAAACGAUGAAUACUAGGUGUAGGAGGGUCCAACCUUCUGUGCCGCAGUUAACACAUUAAGUAUUCCGCCUGGGGAGUACGGUCGCAAGACUAAAACUCAAAGGAAUUGACGGGGGCCCGCACAAGCAGCGGAGCAUGUGGUUUAAUUCGAAGCAACGCGAAGAACCUUACCUAGACUUGACAUACCCUGAAUUACUCGUAACUGAGGAAGUCCCUUCGGGGACAGGGAUACAGGUGGUGCAUGGUUGUCGUCAGCUCGUGUCGUGAGAUGUUGGGUUAAGUCCCGCAACGAGCGCAACCCUUAUUAUUAGUUGCUACCAUUAAGUUGAGCACUCUAAUGAGACUGCCCGGGUGAACCGGGAGGAAGGUGGGGAUGACGUCAAAUCAUCAUGCCCCUUAUGUCUAGGGCUACACACGUGCUACAAUGGUCGGUACAGAGAGACGCAAGACCGCGAGGUGGAGCAAAUCUCAAAAACCGAUCCCAGUUCGGAUUGCAGGCUGAAACUCGCCUGCAUGAAGCCGGAGUUGCUAGUAAUCGCAAAUCAGAAUGUUGCGGUGAAUACGUUCCCGGGCCUUGUACACACCGCCCGUCACACCAUGAGAGUUGGCAACACCCGAAGUCCGUGAGGUAACCGUAAGGAGCCAGCGGCCGAAGGUGGGGUUAAUGAUUGGGGUGAAGUCGUAACAAGGUAGCCGUAGGAGAACCUGCGGCUGGAUCACCUCCUUUCUAA